rnacentral:rRNA from 1 species
AGAACGAACGCUGGCGGCAUGCCUAAUACAUGCAAGUCGAACGAACUCUUCGGAGUUAGUGGCGCACGGGUGCGUAACGCGUGGGAAUCUGCCCCUUGGUUCGGAAUAACAGUUGGAAACGACUGCUAAUACCGGAUGAUGACGAAAGUCCAAAGAUUUAUCGCCAAGGGAUGAGCCCGCGUAGGAUUAGCUAGUUGGUGAGGUAAAGGCUCACCAAGGCAACGAUCCUUAGCUGGUCUGAGAGGAUGAUCAGCCACACUGGGACUGAGACACGGCCCAGACUCCUACGGGAGGCAGCAGUAGGGAAUAUUGGACAAGUGGGCGAAAGCCUGAUCCAGCAAUGCCGCGUGAGUGAUGAAGGCCUUAGGGUUGUAAAGCUCUUUUACCCGAGAUGAUAAUGACAGUAUCGGGAAGAAUAAGCCCCGGACUAAACCGUCCGUGCCCAGCAGCCGC